rnacentral:rRNA from 1 species
AUGAACGCUGGCGGCGUGCCUAAUACAUGCCCGUCGCACGCUGGAGAUCUAGCUUGCUAGAUCGAAGGAGUGGCGAACGGGUGAGUAAUACAUAAGCAACCUACCCACGAAGACUGGGAUAAUCUCUGGAAACGGGGACUAAUACCGGAUAGGUAAUCGGAAGGCAUCUUCUGGUUAUUAAAGGUUAAAAACACUGGUGGAUGGGCUUAUGGCGCAUUAGUUAGUUGGUGAGGUAACGGCCCACCAAGACGAUGAUGCGUAGCCGGCCUGAGAGGGUGAACGGCCACAUUGGGACUGAGACACGGCCCAGACUCCUACGGGAGGCAGCAGUAGGGAAGUUUCGGCAAUGGGGGCAACCCUGACCGAGCAACGCCGCGUGAGUGAAGACGGCCUUCGGGUUGUAAAGCUCUGUUGUAAGGGAAGAACGGUAGAUAGAGAAUAUCUAAGUGACGGUACCUUACCAGAAAGCCACGGCUAACUACGUG